rnacentral:rRNA from 1 species
ACGUAGGGUGCGAGCGUUAAUCGGAAUUACUGGGCGUAAAGAGUGCGUAGGCGGUUCCGCAAGUCCGCUGUGAAAGCCCCGGGCUUAACCUGGGAAUGGCAGUGGAAACUAUGGGACUUGAAUCUGGCAGAGGGGGGUGGAAUGCCACGUGUAGCAGUGAAAUGCGUAGAGAUGUGGCGGAACACCGAUGGCGAAGGCAGCCCCCUGGGCUGAGAUUGACGCUCAGGCACGAAAGCGUGGGGAGCAAACAGGAUUAGAUACCCUGGUAGUCCACGCCCUAAACGAUGACAACUAGGUGUUGGGGAAGCGAUUUCUCAGUACCGCAGCUAACGCGUGAAGUUGUCCGCCUGGGGAGUACGGUCGCAAGAUUA